rnacentral:rRNA from 1 species
UGCCCUUGAGGCGUGGCUUCCGGAGCUAACGCGUUAAGUUGACCGUCUGGGGAGUACGGCCGCUAGGUUAAAACUCAUAUGAAUUGUCGGGGGCCCGCACAAGCGGUGGAGCAUGUGGUUUAAUUCGAUGCAACGCGAAGAACCUUACCUGGUCUUGACAUCCACAGAAGAAUCCAGAGAUGGAUUUGUGCCUUCGGGAACUGUGAGACAGGUGCUGCAUGGCUGUCGUCAGCUCGUGUUGUGAAAUGUUGGGUUAAGUCCCGCAACGAGCGCAACCCUUAUCCUUUGUUGACAGCGGU